rnacentral:rRNA from 1 species
UACGUAGGGUGCAAGCGUUGUCCGGAAUUAUUGGGCGUAAAGAGCUCGUAGGCGGUUUGUUGCGUCGGCUGUGAAAUCCCGAGGCUCAACCUCGGGUCUGCAGUCGAUACGAGCAAACUAGAGUGUUGCAGGGGAGACUGGAAUUCCUGGUGUAGCGGUGAAAUGCGCAGAUAUCAGGAGGAACACCGGUGGCGAAGGCGGGUCUCUGGGCAACAACUGACGCUGAGGAGCGAAAGCUAGGGGAGCAAACGGG